rnacentral:rRNA from 1 species
UACGUAGGGUGCGAGCGUUGUCCGGAAUUACUGGGCGUAAAGAGUUCGUGGGUGGUUUGUCGCGUUGUUCGUGAAAACUCACAGCUCAACUGUGGGCGUGCGGGCGAUACGGGCAGACUGGAGUACUGCAGGGGAGACUGGAAUUCCUGGUGUAGCGGUGGAAUGCGCAGAUAUCAGGAGGAACACCGGUGGCGAAGGCGGGUCUCUGGACAGUUCCUGACGCUGAGGCACGAAGGUCAGGGGAGCAAACGGG